GGAGUAAAGCUUGCCGUGAGAAGUCAGCAGAGGUCAUAGUACCGGGAUGGUUGCAAACGUACCGGGAAGGAC
rfam:Blautia sp. YL58, complete genome.